UCAGUUUUUUUGCUGGCUCAUAUGCUUUUUGAAUUAAUUUGCGGUUGUUUGUUUUUGUUUCCAUCGUCUUUGGUACAAAUCAUCUUAAUUAUUUCCGAUCAUAAGAUUUCAGGUUAAAAUUCGUUGAAUCUCAGCGGAGACAAUAAAGCACUAGGUAAUUUCUUUCCAUCUGCUGCCCAAGCCUUGGUGGGCAGAGUUGUGGGAGGUAGCAGGUACCCAAUAAAAUAGCGAGAUGCGCGCAAGUUGGACCAAACACUAACAUCAUAAAAAAUAAAAAAAGAUCGCCCGAUUGUUUG
rnacentral:lncRNA from 1 species